CAGCAGCCGCGGUAAAACGUAGGGUGCGAGCGUUAAUCGGAAUUACUGGGCGUAAAGCGUGCGCAGGCGGUUCGUUAAGACAGAUGUGAAAUCCCCGGGCUUAACCUGGGAACUGCAUUUGUGACUGGCGAGCUAGAGUAUGGCAGAGGGGGGUAGAAUUCCACGUGUAGCAGUGAAAUGCGUAGAGAUGUGGAGGAAUACCGAUGGCGAAGGCAGCCCCCUGGGCCAAUACUGACGCUCAUGCACGAAAGCGUGGGGAGUAAACAGGAUUAGAUACCCCCGUAGUCCCUGUCUCUUAUAC
rnacentral:rRNA from 1 species